UCUAAUUGUUCUCUCUCUGUGUAUGUAUAUAUAGGUCAUAUAUGUGUAUAUCAUAUCAUAUAUAUAUGUGUGCGUGUAUCCAUAUCAUAUAUCAUAUAUAUAUAGAGAGAGAAAAAGAGUGAGUCAGGAGAGACAGAGGAAGGAGAGAGAGAGAAUCCUACAGAAAGUACCACUAACGGUGUGCUUAUUGUGAGUCAGACAUUGCAUUGUGCUCUAAGGUUUGGAAAAGAAGUCAAAAGUACAACUGAUAGCAGCCAGCUGGAAUAGGGAUUUCUCUUUCGGGAAGCCCGAGGAGAGAUGAGUAAAAAGGUUUUCUAAGGUGGUGUAGCAAGGAAGGAUCAAGGGGCCAGACUCUGUCAGACUGAUUAGAAUUUAAGUCUGUGCUCACCUAUUGUAUAGAAUACGGGACUGUGUAUGUUGCUGAUUAAAAGUCCUGGAGAAAUAUGGUUUAACUAGGAUCACUGGCAUGUCCAAGAGAAACUGGAGAAUGUCUGACAAUUCAAUUGAUGACUCACUUGAUGUCAUUUUAAUUUCCUUGAAAGGAAAAAAAAAAAAAAAAAAAAAAAAANAAAAAUGCUUAUAACCCAAAGUCUACUGGGAACCAGGAGAACAAAGGAGAUAGAGUUUGGGCUUGACUGCCUCCUCGUGGCACCAUGGGCCUCUUCUGUGUCAUCAUCUGCAAGGCGGAGGUCCAGUACCGAUGAAAGGCAACUUAGAAUCACAGACCUGCUUUCAUUGUAUCUGUGAAUUUCUUGCUGCUGGGUUAAGUGUGGUAUAUACUUUGGGCUGGUCAUGAAUAGACUUUUCUUUUAGGAUGAAGCAUGUAUAUUUUCUCUCUGGGUAUUAUGGAAGCCUCCAAUCCCCAUGCACUGAGCUCCCACAUUUCCAUUGCUCUGAAAAAGUUCUGACAUGCUGGUGAAAAUGUGAGGGUGGCAUUUCAUACAAAUUCUUCUUUUGCCUUUAUUCCGGGUGUUUGUUUGUUUGUUUGUUUUUGGUAAAGGAGAUAAAUUAUUUUUCCCUCUUUGAAUCAAAGUGCAUUUAAAGCAGUUUAAGUGUAAAAACCAUUUAUUGAUUGUUUUCCAUUAACAUGGUUUCAGAGGCUAAGUAGGUAAUUUAACAAUCAGGUAGAAAAACCCUACAGUGUGCCUUUUCUGAGUCCUUGCACCAAUGAAAACAUUCUACAUAAUAGAUGUAUACUUGUGGUGCAUUUGUCUGCCCACACAUCCUUGAUGUGUUGGAAAGAAAAGCUAUAAAAGCUCUUCUCUGCUUGUCCUGAAAACCUACGGAAACUUAGGGGUUUGGGUUGGGAUUUUGAUUACUGAGUUCUUUGCUUUGAGAGUGUUGAUCUUUAAUUCAGAAUGCCUUUGUCCUGUCAGGAAUUCACCUAGAUACUGAGUACUUAAAACAUAAGUUCAGCAGAGAAAGUUUUAAAGGACUGGGUCAUAAAAAUGUUUCUCUUUUAGAGACCAGUCAACUCUUAAGGCAAAAAUAAGCUCUCUCUGUUGACAGAAGGUAUGAGGAGAAGAACGUCUCCUUAGCGCUGUGUGUUCUUCAAAGGGCUAGAUUUCACCUAUAGUGUGGACAGGUAUGUACAGGACUCUGUAUGGACCAAAUUCCAGGAAGGAAAAAGGAAUUGAGAUGAUGUUGAUUCAUCAGUCUGCCACAGAACUGGGGAUGUAAAUUGCUGCAGUCACUAUAUAAGACAGUGUGGAGGUUCCUCACAAGAACGAAAAAUAGAGUUGCCAUGUGAUCCAGCAGUCCCACUCCUGGGCGUAUGUCCAGACAAAACCAUAAUUCUAAAAGAUACAUGUACCUUCAUGUUUAUAGCAGCACUAUUCACAAUAGCUAAGGCAUGGAAACAGCCUAAAUGUCCACUGACAGAUCAACGAAUAAAGAAGAUGUGGUACAUACCAAUGGGAUGCUAUUCAGGCAGAAAAAAGAAAAAAUGAUAUAAUGCCAUUUGCAGCAACAUGGAUGGACCUAGAUACAAUCAUACUAAGUGAAGUAAGGCAGGCAAAGACAAAUACAUGAUUUCACUUAUGUGUUGUGUAAUCUAAAAUGUGACACAAUUUAUCUAUGAAACAUACACAGACAUAGAGAACAGACUUGUGGUUGCCAUGGUUGUGGGGGAGCAAUGGACUGGGAGUUUUGGAUUAGCUGAUGCAAACUAUUAUAUAUAGAAUGGAUAAACUGCAUUCUACUAUAUAAUACAUAAAUGUAUAAAUAUUUUCAAUUUCCUAUAGUAAACCACAAUCUGAAAGAGUACAUAUAUAUUAUAUAUAACUGACUCACUUUGUUAUAUGGAGGAAUGAACACAACAUUGUAAAUCAGCUAUGCUUUAAUAAAAUAAAAUAAAUAAAUAUACCAUAAUGCUUCCUGGCCCCCAUGCUCUAGUGCAUUGAGCAGAUUUUUCAGUUGUCUUUUCAAGUGAAGACAGUAUAAAUUAGUGACUGUGGGCUCAGACUUGAGAAAAGGCAAAACAAACUUGUGCCUGAAUAUUAGAAAAGCCCUUUAAUUUUUCUAAGCCAAUGCUGUUCAAAGUGUGGUCCAUAAACCAACAGACUCAGCAUCACCUAAGCUUGUUAGGCAUGCCGAUUCUAAGGCCCUUUGCCCCACUUAUGAAAUCAGAACCUCUCAGAGAGUAAGGUUCAGGAAUCUGUUUUUAAAUGGGUUUUCCAUAUAAUUCAGAUGCUUUGCUAAAAUGUGAAAACCACUGCUAAACCUGUUUCCUGAUCUCUGAAAAGAAGGGAAUUUUUAAAAAUAGCUCAUGUCUAAAAUCUAGGAGAAACUCUCAGAAUAUUAUUGAUUAAUAAACCUUAGCGUGUAUGGAUAGCUGUAUAAACACACAUGUAUUUAUGAAUGCACACACGUAUGUGGCUUUGAAAGGAGGGGCAAAUCUUUUUCAGAUACCAAGAGUAAAAUUACUGAGGCUUUAAUCAUUGCAGUUGAAAUCUAGAGAAGUGAUAAAAUAGAUCUAAAAAUAAUAAAACUUAAUGUUAGAAUAUAUUAAGAGUUAAGUGAAGUUAUAAAUAAUUGAGUUGGUGUUCUCUAGUGGCCCAGUAUUUAAGGAUCCAGCAUGGUCACUGUUGUGGCUUGGGUUCGAUUCCUGGCCUGGGAACUUUGGCAUGCUUCAGGCACAGCCCCAAACAUGUUUUUUAAAUAAUAAACAAAUGAGUCAGUGGAAGACAAUAGAGUUCUGAAAUAGAUGGAUAGAUGUACAGUCAAUCUGACUAGCAUCCAUGAGGACACAGGUUCGAUCCCUGGCCUUGCUCAGUAGGUUAAGGAUCCAGCAUCACUGUGAGCUGUGGUGUAGGUCACAGAUGUGGCUUGGAUCCUGCGUUGCUGUGGUUGUGGUGUAGGCCAGCAGCUACAGCUCCAAUUUGAUCCCUAGCCUGGGAACCUCCAUA
rnacentral:lncRNA from 1 species